GAUGAACGCUGGCGGCGUGCUUAACACAUGCAAGUCGAACGAAGCACUUUAAUCGAUUUCUUCGGAUUGAAAUUUUAGUGACUGAGUGGCGGACGGGUGAGUAACGCGUGGGUAACCUGCCUCACACAGGGGGAUAACAGUUGGAAACGGCUGCUAAUACCGCAUAAGCGCACAGUACUGCAUGGUACGGUGUGAAAAAGUCCGGUGGUGUGAGUUGGACCCGCGUCUGAUUAGCUAGUUGGCAGGGUAACGGCCUACCAAGGCGACGAUCAGUAGCCGACCUGAGAGGGUGACCGGCCACAUUGGGACUGAGACACGGCCCAAACUGCUACGGGAGGCAGCAGUGGGGAAUAUUGCACAAUGGGGGAGACCCUGAUGCAGCGACGCCGCGUGAGCGAAGAAGUAUUUCGGUAUGUAAAGCUCUAUCAGCAGGGAAGAAGAAAUGACGGUACCUGACUAAGAAGCACCGGCUAAAUACGUGCCAGCCGCCGCCGUAA
rnacentral:rRNA from 1 species